rnacentral:rRNA from 1 species
GACGUAGGGCGCGAGCGUUGUCCGGAUUUAUUGGGCGUAAAGAGCUCGUAGGCGGCUUGUUGCGUCGUCCGUGAAAACCCGUGGCUUAACUGCGGGCUUGCGGUCGAUACGGGCGGGCUGGAGUUCGGUAGGGGAGACUGGAAUUCCUGGUGUAGCGGUGAAAUGCGCAGAUAUCAGGAGGAACACCGGUGGCGAAGGCGGGUCUCUGGGCAACAACUGACGCUGAGGGGCGAAAGCGUGGGGAGCGAACAGG